GUCCCCAUCGUCUAGAGGCCUAGGACACCGCCCUUUCACGGCGGUAACAGGGGUUCGAAUCCCCUUGGGGACACCA
rnacentral:tRNA from 1 species